CGGGGUGUAGCGCAGUUGGCUAGCGCGCCACGUUCGGGACGUGGAGGCCGAAGGUUCGAGUCCUUUCACCCCGACCA
rnacentral:tRNA from 1 species